rnacentral:rRNA from 1 species
GACGUAGGGCGCGAGCGUUGUCCGGAUUUAUUGGGCGUAAAGAGCUCGUAGGCGGCUUGUCGCGUCGACCGUGAAAAACUUGGGGCUCAACCCCAAGCCUGCGGUCGAUACGGGCAGGCUCGAGUUCGGUAGGGGAGACUGGAAUUCCUGGGUGUAGCGGUGAAAUGCGCAGAUAUCAGGAGGACACCGAUGGCGAAGGCAGGUCUCUGGGCCGAUACUGACGCUGAGGAGCGAAAGCGUGGGGAGCGAACAGG